UACCAGCACCCCGAGUGGUCGGGAUGAUUAUUGGGCCUAAAGCAUCCGUAGCCGGUCAUGCAAGUCUUCCGUUAAAUCCAGCCGCUCAACGGUUGGGCUGCGGAGGAUACUACGUGGCUAGGAGGCGGGAGAGGCAAGCGGUACUCAGUGGGUAGGGGUAAAAUCCUUUGAUCCAUUGAAGACCACCAGUGGCGAAGGCGGCUUGCCAGAACGCGCACGACGGUGAGGGAUGAAAGCUGGGGGAGCAAACCGG
rnacentral:rRNA from 1 species